rnacentral:rRNA from 1 species
CCUACGGGUGGCAGCAGUGGGGAAUAUUGGACAAUGGGGGCAACCCUGAUCCAGCCAUGCCGCGUGUGUGAAGAAGGCCCUCGGGUUGUAAAGCACUUUCAGUGAGGAAGAACGCCUGGUGGUUAAUACCCAUCAGGAAAGACAUCACUCACAGAAGAAGCACCGGCUAACUCCGUGCCAGCAGCCGCGGUAAUACGGAGGGUGCGAGCGUUAAUCGGAAUUACUGGGCGUAAAGCGCGCGUAGGUGGCUUGAUAAGCCGGUUGUGAAAGCCCCGGGCUCAACCUGGGAACGGCAUCCGGAACUGUCAAGCUAGAGUGCAGGAGAGGAAGGUAGAAUUCCCGGUGUAGCGGUGAAAUGCGUAGAGAUCGGGAGGAUUACCAGUGGCGAAGGCGGCCUUCUGGACUGACACUGACACUGAGGUGCGAAAGCGUGGGUAGCAAACAGGAUUAGAUACCCUAGUAGUC